rnacentral:rRNA from 1 species
GUUAGGAAUAUUGGACAAUGGGCGCAAGCCUGAUCCAGCCAUGCCGCGUGAGUGAUGAAGGCCUUAGGGUUGUAAAGCUCUUUUGUCCGGGAAGAUAAUGACUGUACCGGAAGAAUAAGCCCCGGCUAACUUCGUGCCAGCAGCCGCGGUAAUACGAAGGGGGCGAGCGUUAUUCGGAAUCACUGGGCGUAAAGCGUGCGUAGGCGGCUUUGCAAGUUGGGAGUGAAAGCCCAGGGCUCAACCCUGGAAUUGCUCUCAAAACUGCAAGGCUCGAAUUCGAGAGAGGAUAGCGGAAUUGUCAGUGUAGCAGUGAAAUGCGUAGAUAUUGACAGGAACACCAGUGGCGUAAGCGGCUAUCUGGACCGAUAUUGACGCUGAGGCACGAAAGCGUGGGGAUCAAACAGGAUUAGAUACCCUAGUAGUCC